AGCGAACGCUGGCGGCAGGCUUAACACAUGCAAGUCGAGCGGGCCCUUCGGGGUCAGCGGCAGACGGGUGAGUAACACGUGGGAACGUACCCUUUGGUUCGGAAUAACGCUGGGAAACUAGCGCUAAUACCGGAUACGCCCUUUUGGGGAAAGGCUUGCUGCCGAAGGAUCGGCCCGCGUCUGAUUAGCUAGUUGGUGGGGUAAUGGCCUACCAAGGCGACGAUCAGUAGCUGGUCUGAGAGGAUGAUCAGCCACACUGGGACUGAGACACGGCCCAGAAUCCUACGGGAGGCAGCAGUGGGGAAUAUUGGAAAAUGGGCGCAAGCCUGAUCCAGCCAUGCCGCGUGAGUGAUGAAGGCCUUAGGGUUGUAAAGCUCUUUUGUCCGGGACGAUAAUGACGGUACCGGAAGAAUAAGCCCCGGCUAACUUCGUG
rnacentral:rRNA from 1 species